rnacentral:lncRNA from 1 species
GCAGGCUAAUAAUACACCCCACCAUGGAAGCUGGAGCUGAUCGAUGUAGUACUCGCAUGCAAAGAUGGUAAGAGCAAUGUUGGCAAUAAGGACAGCAAUAAACCACCACUGGGGCACCUGGUCAUAUCUGCUCAUGAGUUUGGUAUGGAUAUCCAUCUUCUUCUCUUUGAAUGCUGACUUGCUCAUUUGCCAUAUUUCACUGUGUGCAUGGAGCAAAGUAGAUUAUAUGUUUGUACAAUGUCCUCACUUUCUCAUAAGUCGUAAACUAUUCCUUUGUUUUCUAUACAUCUUCAUACUCUAUCAUUCUUGUUAGGUUUGGUCACAACAUUUGGCUUUAAAUAUUUCAUUUGCAGAAAAUUGAUAUUAGAAAAGUUCUGCUUACUGGCUUGUGGGCAAUUUUGGUGGUGCCACAGAGAGGACUCGUACCUUCCGUGAAAGAGAAGAACAUGAGAAAUGGUAGCCGUGAGAGACGCAAAGCCGAUACCAUAAGUCACUGCAAAGAAUGUGCUCAAGUAGAGUGGACCAUUCUUUUCAUAGGCCAUAAUGUCAAGGUGGAAGUUGG